rnacentral:rRNA from 1 species
UGUGUAGGCGGUUGUUUAAGUUUGGUGUGAAAUCUCCCGGCUCAACUGGGAGGGUGCGCCGAAUACUGAAUGACUCGAGUGCGGGAGAGGAGAGUGGAAUUCCUGGUGUAGCGGUGAAAUGCGUAGAUAUCAGGAGGAACACCGGUGGUGUAGACGGCUCUCUGGACCGUAACUGACGCUGAGACACGAAAGCGUGGGUAGCAAACAGGAUUAGAUACCCUGGUAGUCCACGCCCUAAACGAUGCAUAUUUGGUGUGGGCCGUUCAGUCGGUCCGUGCCGGAGCUAACGCGUUAAAUAUGCCGCCGUGGGGAGUACAGUCGCAAGGCUAGAA